UGGGGAAUUUUGGACAAUGGGCGAAAGCCUGAUCCAGCAAUGCCGCGUGAGUGAAGAAGGCCUUCGGGUUGUAAAGCUCUUUUGUCAGGGCAGAAACGGUGAGAGCUAAUAUCUCUUGCUAAUGACGGUACCUGAAGAAUAAGCACCGGCUAACUACGUGCCAGCAGCCGCGGUAAUACGUAGGGUGCAAGCGUUAAUCGGAAUUACUGGGCGUAAAGCGUGCGCAGGCGGUCUUGUAAGUCUGAUGUGAAAUCCCCGGGCUCAACCUGGGAAUUGCAUUGGAGACUGCAAGGCUAGAAUCUGGCAGAGGGGGGUAGAAUUCCACGUGUAGCAGUGAAAUGCGUAGAUAUGUGAGGAACACGAUGGGCAAGGGCAGGCCCCUGGGUCAAGAUUGACGCUC
rnacentral:rRNA from 1 species